rnacentral:rRNA from 1 species
AGUGAACGCUGGCGGUAGGCCUAACACAUGCAAGUCGAACGGCAGCACAGUAAGAGCUUGCUCUUACGGGUGGCGAGUGGCGGACGGGUGAGGAAUACAUCGGAAUCUACUUUUUCGUGGGGGAUAACGUAGGGAAACUUACGCUAAUACCGCAUACGACCUACGGGUGAAAGCAGGGGAUCUUCGGACCUUGCGCGAUUGAAUGAGCCGAUGUCGGAUUAGCGAGUUGCCGGGGUAAAGGCCCACCAAGGCGACGAUCCGUAGCUGGUCUGAGAGGAUGAUCAGCCACACUGGAACUGAGACACGAUCCAGACUACUACGGGAGGCAGCAGUGGGGAAUAUUAGACAAUGGGCGCAAGCCUGAUCCAGCCAUACCGCGUGGGUGAAGAAGGCCUUCGGGUUGUAAAGCCCUUUUGUUGGGAAAGAAAAGCAGCAGGUUAAUACCCCGCUGUUCUGACGGUACCCAAAGAAUAAGCACCGGCUAACUUCGUG